GCUGCAUCUUCAUGAUGCUGUUCAGACUGACUUAAAAAGACUUCUAAGAAAUCCUCCUCUGUUAAAGGUUCCGAAAAUGCGGAACUUAAUCACUGCCCAUCCAUUUCUUGGGGCACUUCCUCCUUUAGUGCGCGAACCACUUGAAGUUUCCACAAAAGAAGUGAUGAAACUACGUGGUGUGACACUUUACAAGGAAGGUUCAAAG
rnacentral:misc_RNA from 1 species